UACGUAGGUGGCAAGCGUUGUCCGGAAUUACUGGGCGUAAAGGGCGUGUAGGCGGGGGAUCAAGUCAGAUGUGAAAUUCCAUGGCUUAACUGUGGCGCUGCAUCUGAAACUGGUUCUCUUGAGUACUGGAGAGGAAAGUGGAAUUCCUAGUGUAGCGGUGAAAUGCGUAGAGAUUAGGAGGAACACCAGUGGCGAAGGCGGCUUUCUGGACAGUAACUGACGCUGAGGCGCGAAAGCGUGGGGAGCAAACAGGAUUAGAUACC
rnacentral:rRNA from 1 species